rnacentral:rRNA from 1 species
ACAGCAGUCGCCACGGUAAUACGAAGGGUGCAAGCGUUAAUCGGAAUUACUGGGCGUAAAGCGUGCGUAGGCGGUUUGUUAAGUCUGUUGUGAAAUCCCCGGGCUCAACCUGGGAAUGGCAAUGGAUACUGGCAAGCUAGAGUGUGUCAGAGGAUGGUGGAAUUCCCGGUGUAGCGGUGAAAUGCGUAGAGAUCGGGAGGAACAUCAGUGGCGAAGGCGGCCAUCUGGGACAACACUGACGCUGAGGCACGAAAGCGUGGGGAGCAAACAGGAUUAGAUACCCCUGUAGUCCCUGUCUCUUAUAC